CCUACGGGGGGCAGCAGUGGGGAAUCUUGCGCAAUGGGCGAAAGCCUGACGCAGCGACGCCGCGUGAGUGAUGAAGGCCUUCGGGUUGUAAAGCUCUGUGGAGGGGGACGAAUAAGGGCUGGUGAAUAUCCAGUCUGAUGACGGUACCCCUUUAGCAAGCACCGGCUAACUCUGUGCCAGCAGCCGCGGUAAGACAGAGGGUGCAAACGUUGUUCGGAAUUACUGGGCGUAAAGCGCGUGUAGGCUGCUCGGAAAGUCGGAUGUGAAAGCCCUGGGCUCAACCUAGGAAGUGCAUUCGAAACUUCCGAGCUGGAGUGCUGGAGAGGAAGGCGGAAUUCUCGGUGUAGAGGUGAAAUUCGUAGAUAUCGAGAGGAACACCGGUGGCGAAGGCGGCCUUCUGGACAGCCACUGACGCUGAGACGCGAAAGCGUGGGGAGCAAACAGGAUUAGAUACCCCGGUAGUC
rnacentral:rRNA from 1 species